UGAUAUUUAUAUUUUUAAUGAGAGAAAACAAACUCCAGAAUUUGGGAACUGUUUUUCCGGUUUUGCUUUAUACCUCUUGGACACUCCUUCGAAGGACUGGAUCUGAGGGGCAUUGGGGUGCGACUACGGUGGACAAGGGAUGAUUAAUUUUCAUCCAAAAAUCUUUGGUGGAUUCCCCCGGCUCUCCAGCUCACCAGUCUAACAGUAGUUUAAAACAGAAGAUCAGCAACGUUUGGAGAGUUUUUUUUUCUUUGCGUUUUAAUGAUAAACUUGAUUUAUUCAAUUCUAUUCUGAGGUUGUCUUUCUAUAUUUUGAGUAUAAAACGAUGGCCAUACUAUGUUGGAACCACUAAGGUUCUUCUCUUCACUUGUUAUUCGUAAAGUCUCUUUGUAAUCUGAGAAUUUCCUGAGUAAACUGGGAACUGUUAUAC
ensembl:lncRNA novel transcript